GGAAAUCCUCCCCUGUCUGGGAGCAUUUUGAAAUGGUUGCUCACAAUAAGGUGAAAUGCUUGCUGUGCCUGAAGGAGCUGACAUACAGCAAUAACACCUCCUCCAUGCUCAGGCAUUAUCGAGCACUGCAUGAACAUGCAGAAACUAGUAACAAUCCACACAGUACUCAAAAUUCCAAAAAAGAAAUGGUGAA